AUUUACGCUCAUUUUAUAGAACAUAAAAUUCCACCAAUACAUAUUGCUAGCACAAGUAUAUAGAUUGGGAGAAUUUUUUUUUACAAAAUGUCUCUUUCCUCACAUGUCAAUCAAUUCUUUGGCAUAGACCUCUGUGGUGAAGAACUGACUGAAAGGGAGAACAAGAGAAAUGUUUUAUAGACGGUCUAUCAGCUCUCCAACAAUUUCAACCACCGCACAUCCACAGACUGACGUCACUCUGUUCAGAUGCCAGCAUGAGAAGAAGAGAGCAGGCAAACCGAGGUGGGUUUUUUACAAUAGUGUAACGCCCACAAAGAAGAAGACAUGGCAGCACUGGAUCGAUCAGUGGUGAGGUACGUUUAUAAAAUUAAUUUAUUUUUUUAGCUGUGAAGCUCUGUUAUACUCUCAGAUACACCCACAAUAUGGAGUUCCUAGAAAAAAUUACAUUAUGAUAGAAAAUAUGGACAGAAGGAUAUGGGUCCAAAAUAGGGAUUGUCCCUCGUAAGUAUGGACAUUGUAGAGAUAUGCAUACCUC